UACAGAGGGUGCGAGCGUUGUUCGGAAUUAUUGGGCGUAAAGGGCGCGUAGGCGGUGCGGUAAGUCACCUGUGAAAUCUCCUGGCUCAACUGGGAGCUUGCAGGCGAAACUGCCGUGCUGGAGUGUGGGAGAGGUGCGUGGAAUUCCUGGUGUAGCGGUGAAAUGCGUAGAUAUCAGGAGGAACACCGGUGGCGAAGGCGGCAUCCUGGACCGGUAUUGACGCUGAUGCGCGAAAGCCAGGGGAGCAAACGGG
rnacentral:rRNA from 1 species